GUCCGCGAUCACGCCGGCGUGAUCAAAUCACGUGACUAGUUUAUGACGUCACUGCACGAAAACGAAACCCCGUAGAGCGCUACCGUCAACUUCUCUGGAAAGUGCGGACUUGAAACUCCAUGACAGUUUUUGUUUUAUGUUGAUACACCAAGUAAAAACGGAAAUAUGAUAGUUUAAAGUUGAAAUAAAAAUAAUGUUUACGCAUGCAUAAAUUGCGCACGGUGUGUUGGAUCAGGCGUUGCAUUUAUUUGAAUAUUUUCGUCGUUUUUUGUUAUAUUACGAAACGGAUCAAAAUGUCUGAAUCUGCCGACUCUGCUCUACAGGCUGCACACUCUUGGGACGUGGGGGCGGGGACAACUAAGUAGUGUGGCGGAAGUGAAGUAUGGGCGAGUGUGGCGGAGGAGAGAAGCAGGCGAUAGAGUAGUGAGCGAUAGUUUGAGAGAGUUUUUUUGGAAGAUUUGGAGUUGUUUUAGGAUUUAGAGUUUAUUCGUGAGGAGUAGAGGAUGUUGCGGACAUUGAAUGUAAGACAAGCCGUGGACUUGUUUUUCGAACUGGAGGAGCAGGAGGGCGAAAUCUGCGUUUCACCGUCGGAGUUGGAGAGUGACUGUGUCGAUGAAGUUGAGGAUCCGUCCUUUGUGACGGACGACAAGAGAGAUGAUGAGCAGCCUGGGACAUCUACAGCCCCAGCAAGAGGCAGUGGCAGGGGGCGUCAGCGUGGGAGGGAGAAAAGAUGCCGGUCUAGAUCUCCAUGUGACCGGUCAUCCCAGCCACACCACAGCCCUGAGGCCUGGAGAACAGAGAGUGACCCUGAUACUGCUCCAGGAGUCAGUAGGUUCAUGCCCCACAGACCACCAGGAGCCCAGGUUGACAUUAUGUUAUUGUUGUUUAUAGUUUGAUUUUAUCUCAAUUUGACAUUUAUAUGUCACUUUUGCACUAUUUAGGAACCCCUCACAGUCUGUGAAUGGAAGGCCUGUUAUAUAGUUCUCUGUCUAAUUGUGUACAUAAACUUUUUUGAAGAGAGGCAUGGCCAAAAUGAAAAAAAAAACGCCUAUGUCUUCACCUGGUUUUUGUUGGAAAUAGUUGUAUAUAGCUUAAUUUUAUCUCAGUUAUACUUUUGUAUGUACAUAUUUACAACUUAUGUUUACAUUUUCUGCCUUUGAAUUUUUUCACUGAGCAUGUUUGAAUUUUGGAUAGUAAAGAAAUUUAUUUAUUUUUCAAAUCCGA